rnacentral:rRNA from 1 species
ACGGAGGGGGCUAGCGUUGUUCGGAUUUACUGGGCGUAAAGCGCACGUAGGCGGCAUAUUAAGUUAGAGGUGAAAGGCCUGGGCUCAACCUAGGAACUGCCUUUGAUACUGGUAUGCUUGAGUUCGGAAGAGGGUAGUGGAAUUCCAAGUGUAGAGGUGAAAUUCGUAGAUAUUUGGAAGAACACCGGUGGCGAAGGCGGCUACCUGGUCCGAUACUGACGCUGAGGUGCGAAAGCGUGGGGAGCAAACAGG